UACGUAGGGGGCAAGCGUUGUCCGGAAUUAUUGGGCGUAAAGGGUGCGUAGGCGGCCUUUUAAGUCAGAUGUGAAAGCCCACGGCUUAACCGUGGGAUUGCAUUUGAAACUGGAGGGCUUGAGUAUCGGAGAGGGUAGUGGAAUUCCCAGUGUAGCGGUGGAAUGCGUAGAUAUCACGAGGAACUCCGAUUGCGCAGGCAGCUUACUAAACUACUACUGACGCUCAGGCACGAAGGCGUGGGGAUCGAACAGGAUUAGAUACCCUGGUAGUCCCU
rnacentral:rRNA from 1 species